rnacentral:rRNA from 1 species
CGGAUGGUUGUUUGAACCGCAUGGUUCAGACAUAAAAGGUGGCUUCGGCUACCACUUACAGAUGGACCCGCGGCGCAUUAGCUAGUUGGUGAGGUAACGGCUCACCAAGGCAACGAUGCGUAGCCGACCUGAGAGGGUGAUCGGCCACACUGGGACUGAGACACGGCCCAGACUCCUACGGGAGGCAGCAGUAGGGAAUCUUCCGCAAUGGACGAAAGUCUGACGGAGCAACGCCGCGUGAGUGAUGAAGGUUUUCGGAUCGUAAAGUUCUGUUGUUAGGGAAGAACAAGUGCCGUUCAAAUAGGGCGGCAUCUUGACGGUUUCUAACCAGAAAGCCACGGCUAACUACGUGCCAUCAGCCGCGGUAAUACGUAGGUGGCAAGCGUUGUCCGGAAUUAUUGGGCGUAAAGGGCUCGCAGGCGGUUUCUUAAGUCUGAUGUGAAAGCCCCCGGCUCAACCGGGGAGGGUCAUUGGAAACUGGGGAACUUGAGUGCAGAAGAGGAGAGUGGAAUUCCACGUGUAGCGGUGAAAUGCGUAGAGAUGUGGAGGAACACCAGUGGCGAAGGCGACUCUCUGGUCUGUAACUGACGCUGAGGAGCGAAAGCGUGGGGAGCGAACAGGAUUAGAUACCCUGGUAGUCCACGCCGUAAACGAUGAGUGCUAAGUGUUAGGGGGUUUUCCGCCCCUUAGUGCUGCAGCUAACGCAUUAAGCACUC